CCUACGGGUGGCAGCAGUGGGGAAUCUUGCACAAUGGGGGAAACCCUGAUGCAGCGACGCCGCGUGAAGGAAGAAGUAUUUCGGUAUGUAAACUUCUAUCAGCAGGGAAGAAAAUGACGGUACCUGACUAAGAAGCCCCGGCUAACUACGUGCCAGCAGCCGCGGUAAUACGUAGGGGGCAAGCGUUAUCCGGAUUUACUGGGUGUACAGGGAGCGUAGGCGGCGAUGCAAGUCAGGAGUGAAAGGGCGGGGCUCAACUCCGGGACUGCUUUUGAAACUGUGUUGCUAGAUGGCAGGAGAGGGAAGUGGAAUGCCGGGGGUAGGAGUGAAAUGCGUAGAUAGAGGGAGGAACACGAGGGGAGAAGGCGGGUUACUGGACUGUAAAUGACGCUGAGGCUCGAAGGCCAGGGGAGCAAAAAGGAUUAGAUACCCGUGUAGUC
rnacentral:rRNA from 1 species